GGGAGGUGGAAGUUGCAGUGAGCCGAGAUUGUGCCACAGCACUCCAGCCUGGGUGACAGAGCAAGACUCCGUCUCAAAACAAACAAACAAACAAACAAACAAAUAUUGUCUGUGUGUCCUCACUAGAGGUGAAUUUUGUCACGAAAACCUUCCCACUUACAUCGCUUGUGUCUGAAACUAUAUUUGCCUUAAUCAAAGCGGGUUUAUUGGCUGGGGAUGGUAGCUCACAACUGUAAUCUCAGCACUUUGGGAAGCCGAGGCAGGAGGAUCAUUUGACCCCAGAAGUUCAAGAACAGCCUGGACAACAUAGGGAGACCCCAUUUUUACAAAAAGUAAAUCAUCAGCUGGGCAUGGUGGCAUGUGCCUGUGGUCCCAGCUACUCAGGAGGCUGAGGUAGAAAGGCUCACUUGAGGCUGGGAGAACGAGGCUGCAGUAACUUAUCAUUGCACCCCUGUACUUCAGCCUGGGCAACACUGCAAGACCUGUCUCAAAGAGAGAGAGGGAGAGAGAAACAACUCCUCCCACCGCAAAAACAAACAAACAAACAAACAAACAAGCAAACACAAAGUGGGUUUAUUCCAGUUGGAACCAAAGGAAAGUGUUACAAAGCAAAAUAUACCUGUCAUGCAAGUGAGGACGUUCAGGAUUGGCACCUAUAAAUAACCUGGUAGCCUCCUUAAUACGCAUGGGUUUAACAAUAGAAGCACACACAUAUACUGAAGGUACAUGUGUACAUAUAUGAAUGCUGUAAUCAGUAUAAGAAACCAAUGAAAAAAUUGAUUGUGAUUUAGAAGUUGAAGCAUCCAGUUUCUUAUUAAUUCAUUACUUUUUAAAUAAGAAAUUCCAGAAUUACAUCCUCUUCUGAAGAAUUACAGCAUGCGAAUUACAGCCAGAGAUAUUUUUUAAAGUCUUAAAUUGGGAACCACAGCUUAGCGGAAAUAGGGAGAUAUGAGUUCCAAACGUCCUGACUGUGGGGAGGUUAGGUGAGAAAAUAGAGUGAUUUCAUUUUAGUGCUGGUUUGUAACAUUUAAUUUCCUUUUAUAAAAGUAGUUUGACCUUUGUGGAACACGGGAAAUGUAAAGGGACUGAAAAAAAGACCCAAGGGUUCUUUCCCACCCUUCCAGAACCGUCUUCUCCAAAGGUCCUUAGAACAGACCACCUGUUUUAGCAUUACUCAGAUGGAUGGGCUUAUAUCUUCUAACAGCAAAAAUGCUAAAUGAGGGAACUGCAGGAUAAUUGUGUCCUUAGCAGCUAUGUACUUGGCAUAAUCUGGCAUGUUUACCUAACAGCUUGCUGUGUGCUUAAUAUGUGAAGUUCCUUUUCAUGGCUGUUUGCUUCUGUUGGACUGUAUGUGUUAAAAAUAAUAUAAGGUCAAAUUCCAUAGGAAAGCAUGGUUCUGAUUGAAUUUCCAGUCCCCAAAUCUGGACCUAAGCCAGUAGGAUCUGGGAAUGUGGCAAGGAUGGUAUGCCCUACAUUGCAGCACUCAAAAGUGACUAGUUAGGGUGAUUAACUAGUGACGAGGAUAGGUUUGGAGAGGUAUUCCAACCAGACUGAUUAGCAAGUGGUCAGAUGGGACAGGAACGUGGGUAAAAUACAUUCCCCCUGUCUGGAAGGGAGCUAAAAGAAUGCCCUGGAAAAAGAUGAAAAGAUAAGUCAAUAUGUGUUCUUAAAAGUUAUUUGAGUUAAAAAGUCCAAGCCCUAAAUCUAAGUAUUUAGCCAUAUAAUUUUGGGGCAGUUAUAGGUAAUGUUGCCUUUAAGCCCAUUUUGACUACAAACUAAGAAUGAAAAUCUGUUUUUUUUUUUUAAAAAAGCUCUAUGAUGUCCCUAAUACUACAUUAGUCUAAAUUUAAGCUCUGAAAGGAUCAGUUUUGUAUCUUUUUAAUUUCCUUUGUAAAAUACCCCACAAAACACAUGUCUGCAUGCUGACACUUUUGGAAUUAGUUAUUGUACAAACAAUCUGUCCAAGAAGAUCACUCUUAAAAAAUACAUUGUGAUUGUUGUUUUUGUUUUGUUUUGUUUUUGAGAUGGAGUCUCGCACUGUCACCCAGGCUGGAGUGCAGUGGCGCGAUCUCGGCUCACUGCAAGCUCCGCCUCCCAGGUUCGCACCAUUCUCCUGCCUCAGCCUCCUGAGUAGCUGGGACUACAGGCUCCCGCCACCACGCCCGGCUAAUAUUUUCUAUUUUUAGUGGAGAUGGGGUUUCACCGUGUUAGCCAGGAUGGUCUCGAUCUCCUGAUCUGGUGAUCCACCCGCCUCGGCCUCCCAAAGUGCUGGGAUUACAGGCGUGAGCCAGCGCACCCGGCCACAUUGUUUGAUUUCUCCAACAAUCAAGAUGUUAACCAUUGCUCGGUCACCUUCCUACUCAAUUUUUAUCUAUGGGAUUUUGGUGCAGCUUACAAAAGAUCUCCUACCGGAAAUCUUCUCCAUUCUCCAUCCUCCAUUCUUCCCAAGCAAAAUUCUUCCCCCUAUUUCACGGUUCUACAGGACCUAGUACUGUGUCUACUAACCAUACUUGUCACAUUAUGUCAUGGUUAGCAUGUUUUUAUGAUUCUCUCAAAUUAAUUGUAAGCUUCUUGAGGACAAGAAUCAUCUUCUUUUUCCUGGAACACCUAAUCCCCAUGCUCAAGAAAUCAGCAUAAAUGCUGAGUACAGUGGCUCACACCUGUAAUCCCAGCAUUUUGGGAGGCCCCAGGAAGGCGAAUCACUUGAAGCCAGGAGUUCAAGACCAGCGGCGUGGUCAACAUGGCGAAACCCUGUCUCUCCAAAAAUAUACAAAAAUUAGCUGGACGUGGUGGCACAUGCCUGUAGUAUUCUCAGCUACUCUGGUGGCUGAGGUGGGAGGAUCGCUUGAACCCGGGAGGUGGAGGUUUCAGUGAGCCGAGAUUGUGCCUCUGCACUCCAGCCUGGGUGACAGAGACAGACCCUGUCUCAAAAAAAAAAAAAAAAAAAAAAAAAAAGAAAAGGAAAGAAAAAGAAAUUAACAUAAAGUCUUACACGUGGUUGGCACUUAAAUGUUUUUUGUUUUUUUUUUUGAAACCAAAGAAUCAAAAAUAGAAAUUUUUCUCUGAGGGGAAGAAGCAUUUUUCCACACAUUCUCUUGCUCUGUUAUUGAACUGGGCUUUCUAUUUUCCCAUGUUCCCCAACAAUGUGGAUAUGAGCUUCCCCCCUUCAUAUCUGCAAAUUUGUUUAUCAGUUUCUCAUUGUGGAAUUGGACAUGUUCCUUCGAAUCCAUUUACUUAUUAAAAAAGUAUGUGUUGACCAUCUCCUAUGGUGUGAUGAAACUUUCAUCAACAUUAACUCUUCAUUUUCUUAAAAUGUUGAUAAAUAAUAUCUACUACUACCAUCAAUGGCAUAGCAUUUUAUAGCUUACAAAACACUUUCAGCCAGACGUGGUGGCUCAUGCAUAUAAUCCCAGUACUUUGGGAGGCUGAGGUGGGCUGACCUCUUGAGUUCAGGAGUUCAAGACCAGCCUGGGCAACAUGGCAAAACCCUGUCUUUACUAAAAAAGUAAAAAAAGGAGCCAGGUAUGGUGGCACGUGCCUGUAGUCCCAGCUACUUGGGAGGCUGAGGUGGGAGGAUCGCUUGAGCCUGGGAGGCCGAGGCUGCCAUGAGCUGUGAUCUCUCCAGUGCACUCCAGCUUGGGUGAUGGAGUGAGACCCUGUCUCAAAAAAACAAAACCACUUUCACAGCCAUCAUUUCAUCAAAUCUUUUCAAUAUGUAUGAAGUGGAUAUUAUUAUUAUGUCAACUUUUAAGGCACUUCUUAGAUUCUCAGCUAACUUUACUGAAAAAUGCUUUCAUUUCACCAUGUUGAGUCAUAAAAUAUAAGAUCUCUAAGGGACCUUAAAGAUCAUUGAGUCCUAUGCCUUCCUUUUACAGAUAAAAUAAACGGAGAUAGUCUCACCUUAACAGAUGACUAUAAUGAGAUCUGGACGGGCAAAGUGACUUAAGCUGCG
rnacentral:lncRNA from 10 species